ACGGAGGGUGCAAGCGUUACUCGGAAUCACUGGGCGUAAAGCGCGCGCAGGCGGCCCGUUAAGUUGGAUGUGAAAUCCUAUGGCUCAACCAUAGAACUGCAUCCAAAACUGAUGGGCUAGAGUCUGGGAGGGGAAGAUGGAAUUAGUGGUGUAGGGGUAAAAUCCGUAGAGAUCACUAGGAAUACCAAAAGCGAAGGCGAUCUUCUGGAACAGUACUGACGCUGAGGCGCGAAAGCGUGGGGAGCAAACAG
rnacentral:rRNA from 1 species